ACCUGGGUGGCUUAGUCAGUUGAGUGUCUGACUUCAGCUCAGGUCGUGAUCUCGUGGUUUGUGAGUUCAAGUCUCACAUCAGGCU
rnacentral:tRNA from 1 species